ensembl:lncRNA
CCUGUAGGUAUUUACUGGAUGCUGCCACUAUGGGCCUGAGAAUGUUAGGCUGCUUAAUCUUCCUAACACAAUGGACUGUGUGUAGCAUGAGGACAGGGCUGCUGAAGGGUGCAGAGUAGAGAGAAGACAGGAGCUUGCCCAGCUGUCCUGAGAAGAAUUUUUUUUUCCAUUUGGACACAUGGCAGAACUGAUAAAAUAUGCAAAAUCAGGUCAGUCUCUUUAGUUCUUUGACUCAGAAAGUAUCGUGGAUUUCAGAGAUGUUAAUCAGAACUUACAGGGAAGGUGCCUGAUGUCCAAGGCUGUGUGCUCACCAUCAGUGGAACUCCGUGGCUGGGGGCAUGUUUAUCCAAGACUCCAAAUAGAGUGGAGAUAUGAAGACAGCAAAUACAGUGCCAGCUCGUUUCCUGACACUGGGAAUUCAAGUGAAGAUACCUUGCUGCCAGGGAGAAUGCUCCUUCCCAGGGAGACGAUGGGAAUGCAAACUGGCAGAUGCAUGGUGGGGGCACAUGCAGGAAGCUUCAGCAGGGGCCGUUGCUCAGACUACCUCUAGGUCUCAUGACUCAGCCUUCUACACCAGUCUCUGCACCAUCCAUUCCCUGCCCCAGGCUGAGCUCUCUAAAAUACACAAAAAAAGUUUUAGAAACUUUUUUAGCUUUCUAAAAAGCACACUUCCUUGAA